rnacentral:lncRNA from 1 species
GGACAAACUGGGGGCACUUGGGGACGAUUGGGGGCAAUCUGGGGAAGUUGGGGGCAGUUGGGGACACAUUAGGGGCAGCUGGACGCAGGGGGGGCAGUUGGGGGGCGAUUGGGGGCAAUCUGGGGGCAGUGGGGGGCAGUUUGGGGGCAGUUGGGGACACAUUGGGGGCAGUUGGGGGCAAUUUGGGGAAGUUGGGGCAAUUUGGGGGCAAUUUGGGGAAGUUGGGGCAAUUUGGGGACACAUUGGGGGCAGUUGGGGGCAAUUUGGGGAAGUUGGGGCAAUUUGGGGGCAAUUUGGGGACACAUUGGGGGCAGUUGGGGGCAAUUUGGGGAAGUUGGGGCAAUUUGGGGACAAACUGGGGGCAGUUGUGGGCAAUUUGGGGACAAAUCUGGGGUCACCCCAUGGGGACACUUUGGGGUCACCAUGGGGUCCCUUUGGGGUCAGGUCGAGGUCCCUUUGGGGUCACAUCGGGGUCAGGACGGGGUCCCUUUGGGGUCAGGUUGGUGUCUCUUUGGGGUCAGGACGGGGUCCCUUUGGGGUCACAUUGGGGUCAGGUUGGGGUCCCUUUGGGGUCACAUUGGGGUCAGGUCGGGGUCCCUUUAGGGUCACAUCGGGGUCACUCUGGGGUGACUUUGGGGUGACUUUGGGG